rnacentral:lncRNA from 1 species
GUGGACAGAUUGCUUCAACUAUCUGCAAUCUGAAAACACUAACAGCUUUGGACUUAGGAAGUAACAAUUUGGAGGGAACAAUCCCACAAUGUUUGGUUGAGAUGAAUGAAUACCUUUGGAAUUUGGAUUUGAGCAACAACAGUCUUAGUGGGACUAUCAAUACAAAUUUUAGUGUUGGAAACGAUCUCACGAUCAUUAGCUUGCAUGGGAAUAAGCUAACGGGGAAAGUCCCACGAUCUUUGAUCAAUUGCAAGUACUUGACACUUCUUGAUCUAGGUAACAAUCAGUUGAAUGACACAUUUCCAAACUGGUUGGGACACCUACCUGAUUUGAAGAUUUUAAGCUUGAGAUCAAAUAAGUUUCAUGGUCCCAUUAAAUCUUCAGGGAAUACAAACUUGUUUGCGCGGCUUCAAAUUCUGGAUCUAUCAUCCAAUGGAUUUAGUGGUAAUUUACCAAUAAGUCUUUUUGGGAAUUUGCAAGCCAUGAAGAAAUUGAUGAGCGUACAAGAACCCCAGAGUAUGUUUCUGAUCAAUAUGCUGGUUAUUAUGAUUAUUUGAUGACAAUUACAACAAAGGGGCAAGAGUAUGAUUGUGUUCAAAUUUUGGAUUCUAACAUGAUUAUCGAUCUCUCAAAGAACCGAUUUGAAGGUCAUAUUCCAAGCAUUAUUGGAGAUCUCGUUGAACUUCGUACCUUGAACUUAUCUCAUAAUGUCUUGGAAGGUCAUAUACCAGCAUCAUUGCAAAAUUUAUCUGUACUCGAAUCAUUGGAUCUCUCAUCUAACAAAAUCAGCGGAGGAAUUCCACCACAACUUGCAUCCCUCACGUUUCUUGCAGUCUUAAAUCUCUCUCACAAUCAUCUUGUUGGAUGCAUCCCCAAAGGAAAACAAUUUGAUACGUUUGAGAAUAGCUCAUACCAAGGGAAUGAUGGGUUAUGUGGACUGCCAUUCUCAAAACAUUGUGGUGGUGAUGGUAGGGUACCACAAGCGACAAUUCCAGCUGAGCAAGAUCAAGAAGAAGAAGAAGAUUCACCAAUGAUCAGUUGGCAGGCGGUUCUCAUGGGUUACGGUUGUGGUCUAGUUAUUGGACUGUCUAUAAUAUACAUAAUGUUGUCAACUCAAUAUCCAACAUGGUUUUCGAGGAUGGUAUUGAAAUUGGAACACAGAAUGAUUACGAGAAUGAAAAGGCACAAGAAAAGAUAUUAGUGAGUAGCGACCUCCAGGUAUAUAACUUGAUCUAUUUUAUUUUAUUUCUAUUUUUUUUUACCCUCCGUAGGAGCUCCCACCCCUUUUGCUCCCUUGGUGACUCGAACUCGCAACCUUCGGGUUGGAAGUGAGAGGUGCUUACCAUCCGAGCAACUCCCUCUCGUCAUUCAACUUGAUCAUUAUCCUUCAGAAGAUUAUUUUUUAUAUAUCGAUGUAAUUUCUACCUACUUCAUCCUUUAAGCUCUUAACUUUAAUUCUUCAUUUUUGAAAAUUGCAGGAUUCAAGUCUACUGAAUUGCUGGGAUGCAAUAAGACGAGUUUUUGUUUACCAAUAGUCUGUUAUAUAGUAUGUAGUAAUUUAUUCAGCCUGAUUAUUAGUUAGCUACUUCAUUUCGACUGCAAUGUUCAGUUCAUAAAUUUAUGAAGUUAUCUUAUCUUUUUGUUUUAAUUACAUCAAUAAUUUCAAUAGCAAGCUAAACGUGUACACCUUUUAAGACUCUCCUAAAAAUUGGCUUAAAUAUCCUUAUGGUGUUAAAGAUUGCUCUAAAGUCACCACUCCUUGUUAGUCGAAAAUCACACUUGUCUAAUUUCAAAUGUUUAUAUGUAAAAAGAAUCGAAGAUAUGCCUUUUUUUCUCAACUUUGAUCUGUAGAGGUAUUGAUCUUGUCGCCUCUGCUCUCUGUGCGUUCCUAUUUCUUAAUAAAUCUCUGUGACAUUAGAUACAGGCCUUGUACACCAUACCUUGUAGGAAGACAAUAACGGAUUAGUUCAAGGAGUACUAAAAGUUCUGUUAAAGAAAAUGCUUAAAAACUACAUAUGACAUCUUGUAUUAUAAAGAGAAUGCAAGCUUGAGUCUACUUCAAAUGAUCAUAAUAUAUCGGAUACUCAUUAAAUGAGCAUUCUCAAUAACAGAGCUUGGAUCAAAUCUAUAUUAUGUGCACAGAAUUAUGAAGCAUGAAUACUAGUUCACCUCAACUUUUUCCUUUUCUUUUUGCUAAGAAAAGGCAUUUUGUUGGGUUAUACACAUUUACAAGGGUGAAAAAGAUGCCACAAUUUACACCAUCCUGUAUCAAACAGUCCAGAAUCGAGACGAAGAUAACUAGCUUUAUAAAAAAUUAUUGAUAAAAAUUAUUGAUCUAGGAAAAAGAUGCAUUCUUGAGCUUAUGCUCGAAACUAAUUAAGGGAUAAUUCUCAAAGGAGUACGAAAAGUUCUGUUAUAGGAAGUUUCGUUCAUAACGUUCAAGAAUUUGAAUUACUCUGUGGGAGUAUCAAUUUGGAGGGAACAAUCCCACAAUGCCUGGGUGAGAUGAAUGAAUACCUUUGGAAUUUGGAUUUGAGCAACAACAGUCUUAGUGGGACAAUCAAUAUAAAUUUUAGUAUUGGAAACUCUUUCAGGGUCAUUAGCUUGCACGGGAAUAAGCUAACAGGGAAAGUCCCACCAUCUUUGAUCAAUUGCAAGUAUUUGACACUUCUUGAUCUAGGUAACAAUAAGUUGAAUGACACAUUUCCAAACUGGUUGGGAAACCUACCUGAUUUGCAGAUUUUAAGCUUGAGAUCAAAUAAGUUUCACGGUCCCAUUAAAUCUUCAGGGAAUACAAACUUGUUUGCGCAGCUUCAAAUUCUGGAUCUAUCAUCCAAUGGAUUUAGUGGUAAUUUACCAAUAAGUCUUUCUGGGAAUUUGCAAGCCAUGAAGAAAAUUGACGAGAGUACAAGAACCCCAGAGUAUGUUUCUGAUCAAUUUGCUGGUUAUUAUGAUUAUUUGAUGACAAUUACAACAAAGGGACAAGAUUAUGAUUGUGUUCAAAUUUUGGAUCCUAACAUGAUUAUCGAUCUCUCAAAGAACAGAUUUGAAGGUCUUAUUCCAAGCAUUAUUGGAGAUCUUGUUGGACUUUGUACCUUGAACUUAUCUCAUAAUGUCUUGGAAGGUCAUAUACCAGCUUCAUUGCAAAAUUUAUCAGUACUCGAAUCAUUGGAUCUCUCAUCUAACAAAAUCAGCGGAGAAAUUCCACAACAGCUUGCAUCCCUCACAUUCCUUGCAGUUUUAAAUCUCUCUCACAAUCAUCUUGUUGGAUGCAUCCCCAAAGGAAACCAAUUUGAUACGUUUGAGAACAGUUCGUACCAAGGGAAUGAUGGAUUAUGAGGAUUGCCACCCUCAAGAGACUGUGGCCGUGAUGAUAGGGUACCACAAGAGACAAUUCUAGUUGAGCUAGAUCAAGAAGAAGUAGAUGAUUCACCAAUGAUCAGUUGGCAGAAGGUUCUCAUGGGUUACGGUUGUGGUCUAGUUAUUGGAUUGUCUGUAAUAUACAUAAUGUGGUCAACUCAAUAUCCAGCAUGGUUUUCGAGGAUGGAUUUAAAAUUGGAACACAAAAUUACUACGAGAAUGAAAAGGCACAAAAAAAAGAUAUUAGUGUGUAGCGACCUUCAGGUAUUCAACUUGAUCUUUAUCUUUCUUAAGAUUAUUUUUUAUAUAUCAAUGUAUUUUCGACCUCCUUCAUCCUCAAAGCUCUUACCUUUAAUUCUUCAUUUUUGAAAAUUGCAGGAUUCAUGUCUACAAAGUUUCUGAAGAUUAAGAUAAAAAGCCUCUAUCUUUCAUUUGUCUAUGGCAUGUAGAAAUAAAUUCGACUGAUAAAUAGAAGUCGGACAUAAAGUUGAAUCUUUGGAUCAAUCAGAUGAUAUGUGUCAUCACUAAAAACGUAGUAUUUCACUCAACUCUUUCACAUAACAUCAUAACACAAACAUAGAACACUCGAAUUUAAGUUCAAAAACAUAAAAAUCUGAAGUUACCGAGUUCGGAAUAUUUUUUUUCAGAUUCAUGAUGGUCCUUCAUCAAAAGAUCAAAGAAACAUUACCAGGGACCAAAGUUACAGUUUUCUAUCUUUAACUCUUUUCAUUGAAGCAGCAGCAAAAAGAUUUGCAUUAUUCUCUACUCCCUGAGCCUCACAUAGACAACAUCACGUGUUUUCAACUGGAAUCUGCAUUCUUUGAAGAGUUGGAGAAAGAGCCUUCAACUCUUCCCAUCUAAGUCUCUGAUGACAGAGUUACCCGAUAUCUCUAUUGGUGGAAGGUAGACGGUACCGGUUGAAUUAAUCGAAUAGACUCAAGUUGACCUGAGCAUCACUGUUAUACAACAACAAACUAUGCCUCAGCCCCAAACAAAAACUUGCAUAGAGACCUGCAAUAAUGUUCGAAGCCCAAAAUAAGAUAGACAUAAACACACAAUUGAGUGAUAUAAUUUCUAGUGAUCGAAAUCCAUAUGGAUUUCAAACAUCAUUUAGGAAGAAAUCAAGCAGAAGCGCUUGACUAUAGGUGAGGUUUAUCGUGAUCAACUAUUGUUCAGAUUCAUUAAUUAGCAAACUGCUCCACAAUUUCAAAGUUUCGGGGCAAAGAAAAAGAUUCAUAAAAACAAAAGGGAAUACCUCGCCAAACAGACUUAGGAACCAGGUUUGUCAAGAUAUCACUGCAGCUUUCUUUACGCUGUGCUUUAAUCUCUGUGCAAAAUCCAUAUGCAGGAUCCUUUUAACUGAUUUUGAUGAGUCGAGAUUUCACAAAAAUGUAUCUGUCAAACUAUGACUUAGCUGAUGCGGCAGUUAUCAGCUCCACUAAAUAUACUUGUGGGCUGAAACCUUGUGUAUUCCAGCAUCUAACAUUGCUUUUCUCAAGGCAGCAGCAUAAUCCCACCUCUCUGCGCCAGCACAAAUGAUUCGGUUGCGACUCAAGCAGUAGUUGUGAUACUUCAUAUCCCAAUUCAAUAGCUCCAUGAAGUCUACAAGCACCCAUCAGAGCCCCCAAGACAGUAAAGGCAUCAGCUUCAAACAAGAUAAUGUUCCAUCUUAGCUACAAGUCAAAAUUCAUGAGACAUCGCUUCAAACAAUUUAAAACUGAAAUCGACAAGCUUGGCAUACACACAAUUAAGCUGAUAGAACAGACACAAAAGUAAUCUCAUUUGGUUGCAGCCCCUUUGCCCUCAUCUUCUCAUACAUCGUUAAUGCCUACUUCUCUCUUCUAAGAAAAGGGUUGUAGAUUAUUUGUGAUACAUUAAUUUCUAUUCGACCUCCUUUAUGAUGCAAAUAACAUUAAUGAAAGGCAUAAAACAGUACUAAAUUAAGACAGGGAGAUUUGAUAUAUAGUUUAGAGAAUAUUUGGGCCUCUUGAAGUGUAACAGCCCAAAGCACAAAACAUUGAAGACCCAAACCAGCAAAACAAAAGAAAAUCAGAAUCAGACAUAAAGUUGAAUCUUUAGAUCAUUCAAUCAGACGAUAUGUGCCAUCACUAAAAACAUUGUAUUUCACUCAACUCUUACACAUAACACAAACAUACAACACUCGACUUUAAGUUCAGGAACAUAAAAAUCUGUAGUUACAGAGUUUGAAGAUAUUUUUCUACCGACUCAUGAUGGUCCUUCAUCAAAAAAUGGAAGAAACAUCAGGAAAACACAGAAAAUCUAGUAUCCAACACGGCUUCAGAAGGAGAAUCUUCUGUUACUAUCAUCAAUGAAUUCAGUAUUACAAACUUCAGGCCUUAAGAACUGAAAUACAGGUGCUCGGAAAAUUGAUUUAGGCUGUAUAUGGAUGAUAUACAGCGGAAAGGGACGACAUAGGGUUCAUAUACAGUAGUAAUAUACGCUUGGUAUAUAUUCAGGUUUUCAAGGGUAAAAAUAGGGCCAAUGCCCAAACACAACCUGCAGCAGGCCCAAGAAGGGCCCAAAUUCAAUUUCUCCUUCACUCUUAACCUAUUUAACUGUGAUUAUUUACUGUUAGCUUUUUAUUAACUCUAACUUUAAAUAACUUAAUUAAAUACCCAAAAGAUGAACUAUAUUAUUUCUGUUAGUUUAUUUUAAUAUAAUUCAUUUUUUAUCAACUUUCAUACUUUUAUUGAAUAUAUUUAGUCAAAACUUUUUAUUUAUUCUUCAAUUAAUUUAAAAUCGUUUUCAUACUUUUAGUUAAUCAAAUCGGUUUAAAUUAUUAUUUUAAAAUGAUUCAAAUAAAUUUUAAUUAAUCUAGUUUUGUUAAAAUACUAAUCACUUGUAAUUAAAUUCAAAUAUUUUAAUUAAGGUCCCCCUUUCUAAAAAAAAUCAAAAAUUGUUCUUUGUUUAACUAUUUUUUUCAAGUUAAUAUUAAAAGUCAUUUUCAUAAUCACUUCCCAAAAAAUAGUCAAAAAAAUAUUUUAACCAAGUUGUAGGAUAACCGCGUGUUAGCGGAUGCUUCAAAUGCCUUAAAAACCUUCUUGAAGCGUAAAUAAGAACCUCUUACCCAUUUUCUCUAAAUUUUUAAAGACUUAAUCUGUUAGAGUCUUUUUAAAUUAUAAGUUUUUUUGUAAUUUCUCUAAAAAAUAAAGUAGCGACUCUUUUCUAAGUAUUUUUCUCAAAUUGUCUUAUACUUAAAGCAUUUCAAAAGUAAUUUUUCUAAAGAUAGUCAAAUUACAAUAUAUAUAACAUUUAGAUCAUUCGAUCAGAUGAUAUUUGUCAUCACUAAAAACAUUGUAUUCACUCAACUCGUUCACAUGACAUCAUAAUAAAAACAUAGAGCACUCGACUUUAUGUUCAGAAACAUAAAUUUGUAGUUACAGAGUUCGAAAAUAUUUUUUACAGACUCAUCGAAAGAUCAAAGAAACAUCAGGAAACCAUGGACCAAAGUUGAAGUCUUCUAUCUUUAACUAUUUUCAUUGUAGCUUAUAUCAUAAAAAAAUUAACUCAAAGGAGAUUUGGACUCAACUUCAACUUCCUGUGUAUAAUAUUUCAAGAAUAGUAAAACAAGUUGAUAUCUAAAUUUACUUUGAAAUGGCCUUCAUACUUGGAACUAUUAAUUACUGCAGAACUUUAAUCACUCAUUAAUGUAUAAAACAUGUACCCUAUUGAGUUUUCUUAUUGGGAGAAACGGUAGUCUAUCAAUUAGUAAUGACUUUCCAAUUUUUUGGUAGUUUAUCAAUAAAUUAGUAAUGACUUUCCUACAUAAAUUAAAUGAAUACAUGGAUUCUUUAUUACCACAAAUUUUUUAAAAUAACAGUUUUUUUUUUUAAAGUAAGGAAAAAAUGGUCAAUUAAUUUUGUACAGGUAUUUCGUAAUCCAACUUGGCACUUUGAAGCUUCACAAUUUUAAUUGAGCUUUAUAUUUUCAUUGGAACGAACUUUAAUUCUUUAACAUGUGUAUCUUGAGGAGAAGAGAAAGGGAAAGUUCUGAGUGGGGUUAAGGGAACCAAAACAAAUACCUUUUAUGUGACAUUUUUGUCUAUAUAUAAUAAUGUAUCAGACAAAAUGCAUUUGUUAUAUACAAGCGGUGGGACUUUGUUACGUUGUUGCUUUCAUUUGAACAUAUUGAAUGUGCAUAUGUGAUUGUCAACUUCAAAUUGACUGAAAAUGCUUAAUUUAUGCUAAUCUCUAUCUCAUCAAAAUUAUUGAAUACACACACAGAGCAAAUAUCUUCUCUACCAACUUAAUUAGUUUUGAUCAUUUUUAGUGCGGAAAUGGGUUAUGUAAAACUUGUAUUUUUUAUGUUAUAUACCUUUCUCUGUCAACUUGGUAUCUCCUCAUCCUUACCUCAUUUAUGCCCCGAAGAUCAAGCUCUUGCUCUUCUACAAUUUAAGCACAUGUUUACCAUUAAUCCUAAUGCUUCUAAUUUUUGUCGUGAAAUAAUAACAGAUCAAGAGAUUCAGUCAUAUCCAAAAACCCUUUUAUGGAACAAGAGCACAGAUUGUUGCUCAUGGGACGGAGUUCAUUGUGACGAGAUGACGGGACAAGUAAUUGAGCUUGAUCUCAGUUACAGCACACUUCAAGGCAAGUUUCAUUCCAAUAGUAGCCUCUUUCAAUUAUCCAAUCUCAAAAGGCUUGAUUUGUCAUGUAAUAAUUUCACCGGAUCGCUCAUUUCACCUAAAUUUGGUGAGUUCUCUAGCUUGACGCAUCUUGAUUUGUCAGGUACAGGUUUUACAGGUCUAAUGCCAACAGAAAUCUCUCACCUUUCUAAAUUACACGUUCUUCGAUUCAGUGGUCUAUAUGACCUUAGUCUUGGGCGUCACAAUUUUGAACUGCUCCUUAAAAACUUGACCCAAUUAAGAGAGCUCAACCUUGACUAUGUAAACAUCUCUUCCACAAUUCCUCAGAAUUUCUCUUCUUAUUUAAAAAAUCUACGGCUUCCAUACACAGAUUUAUGUGGGGUAUUGCCCAAAAGAGUUUUCCACCUUUCCGAUUUAGAAUUCCUUGAUUUAUCAUCCAAUUCUCAGCUCACUGUUAGGCUUCCCACAACCAAAUGGAAUAGCACUGCAUCACUCAUGUACUUACGUCUCUAUGACGUGAAUAUUACUGAUAGGAUACCUGAAUCAUUUAGCCAUCUAACUUCAUUGCUUGUAUUGGACAUGAGUGAUUGUAAUCUGUCAGGGUCUAUUACUAAACCUCUAUGGAAUCUCACCAACAUAGAGUUGUUGGACCUUGGUAAUAACCAUCUUAAAGGAUCAAUUUCCCGGUUAUCGAGAUUUGGAAAGCUCAAGGACUUAUCACUUAGAAAUAACAACUUUGAUGGCCAACUUGAGUUCUUAUCCUGUAACAGAAGUUGGACCCAACUUAAAUGGCUAGAUUUUACAUCCAAUUUCCUAACUGGUCCAAUUCCAUCCAACGUAAGUGGACUACAAAAUCUACAAUCACUCUACUUGUCAUCAAACAACUUGAAUGGGACUAUACCUUCCUGGAUAUUCUCCCUUCCUUCACUGUCAGAGUUAGAGUUGAACAAUAACACUUUCAGUGGAAAAAUUCAGGAGUUCAAGUCCAAAACAUUGUCUCAAGUUGAUCUAAAACAAAAUCAACUAGAAGGUCCUUUACCAAAUUCACUCCUAAACCAGCCACUCCUAACAUAUCUUCUCCUUUCACACAAUAAUAUCAGUGGACAGAUUGCUUCAACUAUCUGCAAUCUGAAAGAAUUGACUGUGCUAAAUUUGAGAAAUAAUAAUUUGGAGGGAACAAUCCCACAAUGCCUGGGUGAGAUGAAUGAAUACCUUUGGAAUUUGGAUUUGAGCAACAACAGUCUUAGUGGGACAAUCAAUAUAAAUUUUAGUAUUGGAAACUCUUUCAGGGUCAUUAGCUUGCACGGGAAUAAGCUAACAGGGAAAGUCCCACCAUCUUUGAUCAAUUGCAAGUAUUUGACACUUCUUGAUAUAGGUAACAAUCAGUUGAAUGACACAUUUCCAAACUGUUGGAAACCUACCUGAUUUGCAGAUUUUAAGCUUGAGAUCAAAUAAGUUUCACGGCCCCAUUAAAUCUUCAGGGAAUACAAACUUGUUUGCGCAGCUUCAAAUUCUGGAUCUAUCAUCCAAUGGAUUUAGUGGUAAUUUACCAAUUAGUCUUUUUGGGAAUUUGCAAGCCAUGAAGAAAAUUGACGAGAGUACAAGAACCCCAGAGUAUGUUUCUGAUCAAUUUGCUGGUUAUUAUGAAUAUUUGACCACAAUUACAACAAAGGGACAGGAUUAUGAUUCUGUUCGAAUUUUGGAUUCUAACAUGAUUAUCAAUCUCUCAAAGAACAGAUUUGAAGGUCAUAUUCCUAACAUUAUUGGAGAUCUCGUUGGACUUCGUACCUUGAACUUAUCUCAUAAUGUCUUGGAAGGUCAUAUACCAGCAUCAUUGCAAAAUUUAUCUGUACUCGAAUCAUUGGAUUUCUCAUCUAACAAAAUCAGCGGAGGAAUUCCACCACAACUUGCAUCCCUCACAUUUCUUGCAGUCUUAAAUCUCUCUCACAAUCAUCUUGUUGGAUGCAUCCCCAAAGGAAAACAAUUUGAUACGUUUGAGAACACUUCCUACCAAGGGAAUGAUGGGUUACGUGGAUUGCCACUCUCAAAACACUGUGGCGGUGAUGAUAGGGUACCACAAGCAAUAACUCCAUCAGAGCUAGAUCAAGAAGAAGAAGAAGAUUCACCAAUGAUCAGUUGGCAAGCGGUUCUCAUGGGUUACGGUUGUGGACUUGUUAUUGGACUGUCCGUAAUAUACAUAAUGUUGUCAACUCAAUAUCCAACAUGGUUUUCGAGGUUGGUUGUGCAAUUGGAACACAGAAUUACUACGAGAAUGAAAAGGCACGAGAAAAGAUAUUAGUGAGUAGCUAC